rnacentral:rRNA from 1 species
GACGAGCGCUGGCGGCGUGCCUAAUACAUGCAAGUUGAGCGCUGAAGGUUGGUACUUGUACCAACUGGAUGAGCAGCGAACGGGUGAGUAACGCGUGGGGAAUCUGCCUUUGAGCGGGGGACAACAUUUGGAAACGAAUGCUAAUACCGCAUAAAAACUUUAAACACAAGUUUUAAGUUUGAAAGAUGCAAUUGCAUCACUCAAAGAUGAUCCCGCGUUGUAUUAGCUAGUUGGUGAGGUAAAGGCUCACCAAGGCGAUGAUACAUAGCCGACCUGAGAGGGUGAUCGGCCACAUUGGGACUGAGACACGGCCCAAACUCCUACGGGAGGCAGCAGUAGGGAAUCUUCGGCAAUGGACGAAAGUCUGACCGGGCAACGCCGCGUGAGUGAAGAAGGUUUUCGGAUCGUAAAACUCUGUUGGUAGAGAAGAACGUUGGUGAGAGUGGAAAGCUCAUCAAGUGACGGUAACUACCCAGAAAGGGACGGCUAACUACGUG